GGGGGUGACUGGUUUCGACUUCGUACGUGGAGACAGGGGAAGCGAGCCGAGGAAGCCGACGUCGUCUCGAGAAUCGGUCGUCGGAAACCAAUAAGCGCCAAGGAUAACUCCCGCGCUGACUUCGCUCUUGCCGCCUGAGGUAAGUAGCAAGUCUGUCGGACUGAGCACACCUCCGGCUCAGAUCUCCGGCAUCAGCUAGGAGGUUGGCCAAUCGGUCCCGGUCGCGGGGGCCGUGCGGCGAGAUUAAUCAGCGACUGGGCCCGUCACACCGACUCGCUCACGUGAUCGGUGGGGCCGAGUAGAGGCACAGUGAGCUGCGCUCGGAGAAGCCCUGACAAAACAACGAAGGACCCGGGUUCGAUUCCCGGCACCUCCACUG
rfam:Couchioplanes caeruleus subsp. caeruleus strain DSM 43634 Cont005, whole genome shotgun sequence.